CCUACGGGAGGCAGCAGUGGGGAAUAUUGCUCAAUGGGGGCAACCCUGAAGCAGCCAUGCCGCGUGAAUGAUGAAGGUCUUCGGAUUGUAAAGCUCUUUCGUUAGUGACGAUAAUGACGGUAUCUACUGAAGAAGCACCGGCGAACUUCGUGCCAGCAGCCGCGGUAAUACGGAGGGUGCGAGCGUUAUUCGGAAUUACUGGGCGUAAAGGGCGUGUAGGCGGGUUAGUAAGUCAGAGGUGAAAUGCUAGGGCUCAACCAUAGAACUGCAAUUGUGACUGUGAUUCUAGAGUAAUGGAGAGGUAGGUGGAAUACCUGGUGUAGAGGUGAAAUCCGUAGAGAUCGAGAAGAACACUCAUUGCGAAGGCGGCCAGCUGGACAUUAACUGACGCUGAGGCUCGAAAGCGUGGGGAGCAAACAGGAUUAGAUACCCGUGUAGUC
rnacentral:rRNA from 1 species